UACAGAGGGGGCAAGCGUUAUUCGGAAUUAUUGGGCGUAAAGGGCGCGUAGGCGGCUUUGCAAGUGACGGGUGAAAUCCCUCGGCUUAACCGAGGAACUGCCUGUCAGACUGCAUGGCUUGAGACCAGGAGAGGUGAGUGGAAUUCCCAGUGUAGCGGUGAAAUGCGUAGAUAUUAGGAAGAACACCAGUGGCGAAGGCGGCUCACUGGUCCGGUACUGACGCUGAGGUGCGAAAGCGUGGGGAGCAAACAGG
rnacentral:rRNA from 1 species